rnacentral:lncRNA from 1 species
CUGUUUUUCUCAUACUAUAUGCAAUAGGUAUACUAUAUUUGUUGUAUGGAAUGAUGGUAAGGUGUACAUGUCUAGCGGGCAGAUGUCAUGUGACCUUGACCUCAUUUUCAUGGUUCAGCGGUCAAAGUUAAGUUUUUGAGUUUUGGUCUUUUUAUCUAAUACUGUAUGCCAUAGGUCAACUAUAUUUGGUGUAUGGAAAUAUUUUAUGAUCUUUAUGUCAGUCGCACAGGUUUUAUUUGACCGUGACCUCAUUUUCACGGUUCAUUGCACAGUGUUAAGUUUUUGUGUUUUGGUCUAUUUUUCAUAAACUAUAAGUAAUGGG